GCCUGUUGCUGGGUAACCAGGCGAUGGAUGUUGUGUGCCUGUUGCUGGGUAACCAGGUGAUGGAUGUUGUGUGCCUGUUGCUGGGUAACCAGGUGUCCUGCAGCUGGUGGAGCAGCAGAGAAGAAGAGUGAUGGUCCUCCACGCUGCAGUGAGCCAGGCCAGAGCCAACAUGGACGCCAUGACGCGGAUCAUACAGGGAUGGGCGGAGCUUCAGCUGCUGCAGCGAUCAGCUGACUCGCUGCUGGAGGGCGGAGCCACAGAGCACAGCUGCCGACGAAUCAGAGACGA